AGAGUUUGAUCAUGGCUCAGGACGAACGCUGGCGGCGUGCCUAACACAUGCAAGUCGAGCGGGGUGCAGCAAUGCACCUAGCGGCGGACGGGUGAGUAACACGUGGGUAACCUGCCCUGUACAGAGGGAUAGCCAUCCGAAAGGAUGAUUAAUACCUCAUAACACCAUUACCUCGCAUGGGGUGGUGGUCAAAGGAGAAAUCCGGUAUGGGAUGGACCCGCGGCCCAUUAGCUAGUUGGUGAGAUAACAGCCCACCAAGGCAACGAUGGGUAGCCGAUCUGAGAGGAUGACCGGCCACAUUGGAACUGAGACACGGUCCAGACUCCUACGGGAGGCAGCAGUGGGGAAUAUUGCGCAAUGGGGGAAACCCUGACGCAGCAACGCCGCGUGAGUGAUGAAGGCCUUCGGGUCGUAAAGCUCUGUCUUCGCUGACGAAGAAAUGACGGUAAGCGAGGAGGAAGCCACGGCUAACUACGUGCCAGCAGCCGCGGUAAUACGUAGGUGGCGAGCGUUGUCCGGAAUUACUGGGCGUAAAGGGUGCGUAGGCGGACUAUUAAGUCAGAUGUGAAAUUCCAGGGCUUAACCCUGGAACUGCAUUUGAAACUAGUAGUCUAGAGUGCAGGAGAGGAAAGCGGAAUUCCUAGUGUAGCGGUGAAAUGCGUAGAUAUUAGGAAGAACACCAGUGGCGAAGGCGGCUUUCUGGACUGUAACUGACGCUGAGGCACGAAAGCGUGGGGAGCAAACAGGAUUAGAUACCCUGGUAGUCCACGCUGUAAACGAUGAGUGCUAGGUGUAGGGGGUGUCAUGCCUUCUGUGCCGCAGUAAACGCAAUAAGCACUCCGCCUGGGGAGUACGGUCGCAAGACUAAAACUCAAAGGAAUUGACGG
rnacentral:rRNA from 1 species